rnacentral:lncRNA from 1 species
ACAUAAUAAAUGUAUGUAAAAUGAGUUUAAUCAUUUUUAAGGGUAUAAUCAACUCAACCAUUUAUAAUUUGCAGCACAGCUAGGAAGAAAAGGGAUUCUUAAAACGGAGAAGUCACCAUACCAUACCAUGUGCUAUAGUUAUAGCAUUGUAUAUAAAAACAUCUAGAUACAUGUGGAAAAUGGAACAAAAAAUUUACGAAGCAAUCCAACUUUAAUUUUUAUAAACCGAGCAAAUGAGUUUAGAACGACAAGUAGGAAACAGAGUUUAUACAAUGAACAUAAUAACAACAAAAGCUAGCGUUAGACCUGACUUGAUUGCUUUCGCUCUUCUUGGCCAUAAAAAAUGCCUAUAUUUUCUGCCAUCCAGCAACUACAAUAAACAAACAACACAGAGAGAGAAAUCUAAUGAAGUUGAUGAAGAAAAAAUGAAUCUAAAAUUUGAACAAUCAAGCAUAGAGAAACUAUUUCUUAGAAUGUUAGCUUUCUUGAAAUAUAUUUUUAGCCAUAAUCAGAAAUUAAAAAAUUAUUGUUCUUUGGAGAGAAACGAAACCGUGUUGAUAUCCGACAGGCCUCCUUCUGCAGUACCAUAGAUAAACUCUGUUGCCACUAGCUAAUGGUAUACACGAGAAUCUGUUUAGUGUCUGCAAAUAAUGUACACUUUCCGUAAGAAAGAGAAGUAACGAAAAAGACGUUAGUACGUUAAGUGAACAGGUGAACUUACAGUGGCUGAUACUUUUCCUUUGCUCAACUGAAAUGAAGAAACGGAGCUAAAUCAGAAGACAAAUAGUUCCCAGCAUGGUGUAUAUACUAUCCCAUUUUUUAGCCGUAACUCCAAAUUAAUUUGCACAUUAUCAAUGGGAUUUUAUAUCAUAUUACAUGCUUGAUACAUAGAUUUUCUAAACAAAUCUCAAACUUGAAGAGUGCUAGAUAGGUUUAUUUUACCAUUUUGGUCUCGGGGAAGAUAACACAAGUACUUCGGUAACCAAAUUCUUCCAAAGCAUCCUUCAAAACACAAUCAUUGGUAUCAUAAGAAAAGUAAGUAAAAUAAAUUGUCAUUGUGCACAAACUGAGAAAUUAACAACACUGGUAAACAAAAAACUUGGAAGAAUAAAAAAUUGAAACCAAUGGAAAAUUAGCAAACUAUAAUUAAGUAAAAUUCUAAAAUAUCAAGUCAUAGAUUCUCACAAUCUGCAAACUCUUGUUUCAAAUCCUAGCUUGACCCCUUAAAUUCAAGCAAUCAAAUUAACCUAAAAAUCACUUGUCAGCUUCCUAUACUGAAUUCCACACGGAUGGAAUGAGAUCAAUUAAAAUAAAUGGAAAAUAAUAACAGAGGAGACUAACCUGUCACGCAAUCCACGGGUGAUUCAAAACACCUGCAGGGUUGAAAGAUUUUCGCAUUUUUCAAUUUGUCUUCACAAUGAUUAGUUCGAUCCUGAGGGAAGAAGUAGCAACAGAGAUGUCGGCUCGGCAUUAGCGGCAAUGGCGGAGGCGGAGGCGGAGGCGAACGCGGCGGCGGAGGUACGGCGUCGAAGAGAAGUUAUUAUUCAUAGAGAAGCCCUAAUCGAAGGUUAGAGGGAGAUUGUAUCGGUCUGAUUAUAAAGGAAAAAUUGAGAGAAAAAAGUGAUGUUAAUAACGUUAGAGAUUAAUAAUUUAUAUAUUAUAUAAUUUAU